rnacentral:lncRNA from 1 species
UUUGAUUUGAUGGAUGCGAAUUGUAUUUAGAUCUAACUUGGGAUCGUGAGAGAGGGCCACAGAGUCACUACCUAACUCCUAAGCUCUACCUAACUAAUGCUUUUUCAGAAGGUACUUAACUUGAUCCAUUAGUGAAUCUUAAUUUGAGCAAAAAACAAGAUAGCAAUGAUGUCUUACCUGGGAAACACAUCGGUGCCUUUAAUUUGCAGAUAAAAAAGACAAGAUGCUCUCAGAAUCAAUUUCGGAUUGGUGUCAGAAGAGAAGAGAAUAAUAAGCAAGGAAGAAGGCACAGUUUCUUUUGCUUUGGUGUUGGAGGGGAUUUGUCCAAAAGCAUGCUUUUGCGAUAUCUCUCUGCACAAUUAACUUCGAAUGGGAACAAGACACGCACUCACCAUAUCCUCCCUGUUUUUCCGAUUAUUCAUUAUCUUAUUAUUAAUAUUUAUUAUUAUUUUCAUUGUGACAUCUAAUUCUAUUGCAGAAGUCAAUAUACAUCAAAGGUGUUUAUUUCGGUACAAUGAUAAAUUCAUACGUACCGAUACGUUAAGAACGUGGACAAAUAACAAAACGACACGUGGACUAUAUUUUCCACGUCAGCAUCUAAUCUUUUUUCAAAAAAUAUAUAUCAUAUCAAUACUUUUACUAAAAUACCCUUAUAAUUUAAUAAAAAUAAAAAUAUUUUUUUAAAUGUUAUGAAAAGGCUUAAAUAUCUUUUUUUAUGUUAAACAAAAACUACCCCUUUAAAUUAAUCAAAUUUGAAAAUUCAACUAAUUUUAAUCUUAU